UAGCUCAGUGGUAGAGCACAUGCUUAGCAUGUACAAGGGUCCUGGGUUCAAUUCCCAG
rnacentral:tRNA from 1 species